rnacentral:lncRNA from 12 species
AAUCACUCCCAGGACAGCUUCUGCUCAACGCAAAUGCAAGAGGCUACAAGAGACAACUUAGAUGCUGACCUGGACAUGAGGUUUGUGGUGUAGGUGUAAAAUAUUGGCAUAACAGAAUAGGUAUGAUAGAUUUAAAAUUCUUCCAUUCCUUUUGUAUAUUUAUAGAAUUUUAUUAUUAUAACAACCAACCAACCGCAGUAGACAUUUCAGCACACUUCCCCUUUGAAAUCAAAACAAAGGUCUAAGGUAAGUUCAUUGUUUUCAUGCCAAAGCUGGAGUCACCUUGGCAACAGUCUGUAAACUCAAAGCUGCUUUAGGAAAAUGCACAAUUAAGACAAAGGACUGGCCCUUCAAAGCCAAGGAUGUAAACACAAGAACUAAUUUAACUUCAUUUAUCUCAAACAUUUCUGUUUAGAGAAGUAACAAAAUGUUGUCACAGACAGGUGAAUCUUGCUUGUUUAAAUGUAAGCAACAGAAAACACUUUUCAUUAUCUUAUUUAGUAACUUUUGUUUAACAUCAAAUAUGUUUUUCUUGGGAAGUUCUAUGAUGCAUGCAUUAUGAAUUGUGCUUAUUGGCUUAUAAGAGCUUCUUUGUUCUUAUGCAAUAAGUACUUGGCCAUUUAUUAAUUUCUGUUUAUUACUAUUUGUUAAAUUAUACAGGAAGUUGCUUUAGGGAAAAUGUGCUAAUAACUAACUUCGAAAGCAAGCAUUUACAAUUUAUUUAAAAUACUUAAAAUGACUUUGAACUUAAAUAAUACUGAGAUUAUGCAUUGCCUUCAUCAUAAACAUAACCACAUGGGGGCAACAAAGCAGUUCUUGUGCAUGUUGUGAAUAUUAAAGGAGCUGUUCAGUACUGUUAGUGAACCAGAACUGCAACUAAUUGUCUGUUUGUGCAUCUGCCAGAACACUGGAGCAUGAGUAAACAUGAAAGAAGCAGAUUUGGGGAGCAGCUGUUGAAGGAAGAGCUUGAGGCUGUGGCUCUGGGGCUGGAGAAGGGAUUCUACGCUUGGGAAGAAAUUGACCUGGCUCAUGAUUCACAGGGCUUUACUCCUCUUAUCAGUGCCUGCAGGAGGGGUCUUACUAAGGUGAUGCAUUUCCUUCUGAAAAGAGGAGCCGAUGCUAUGUUGUGUAACCAUAGCAACCAGACAGCUCUUCACGUUGCACUCCAAGAGGAGCUGUUGGCGGCUAUGAUCAGACGUACCCCAUCAGAGGCAGCUCUCACUAGCAGCCUGGAGGGGAGACCUCUGCUGUCUACAGGACCUGAUGGUGAGCGGCUCAGACUUCAACUUCCACUUGCCAUUUGA